rnacentral:antisense_RNA from 1 species
AUAGAGCAACAGCUUCUAUGCAGUUUUGAUGAGCCCCGUUAAUCUUCUCCUAGUCGCCAAACUCAGGAAGGUUAUCGGGGUUUUCUUCU